CCCAAUGAGAUUUCAAACUGAGA
rnacentral:miRNA from 1 species